rnacentral:rRNA from 1 species
ACGUCCCAGUUCAGAUUGCAGUCUGCAACUCGACUGCAUGAAGUCGGAAUCGCUAGUAAUCGCGGAUCAGCAUGCCGCGGUGAAUACGUUCCCGGGCCUUGUACACACCGCCCGUCACACCAUGAGAGUCGGGAACACCCGAAGUCCGUAGCCUAACCGCAAGGGGGCGCGGCCGAAGGUGGGUUCGAUAAUUGGGGUGAAGUCGUAACAAGGUAAC